GACGAACGCUGGCGGCGUGCUUAACACAUGCAAGUCGAACGGAAAGGUCGCGUUCGGGGGGUCCUCGAGUGGCGAACGGGUGAGUAACACGUUAGUAAUCUGCCCUUCACUUUGGGAUAACUUCAGAAAACUGGUGCUAAUACCGGACAGGAGCUUCUGCUGCAUGGUGUGGGCUGGAAAGUUUCGGCGUUUGUGGAUGGGCUCGCGGCUUAUCAGCUUGUUGGUGGGGGAGUGGCUUACCAAGGCUUUGACGGGUAGCCGGCCUGAGUGGGUGACCGGCAUCAGUGAGACUGGGACACGGCCCAGGCUCCGACGGGUGGGAGAGGUGGGGAAGAUUGAUAUAGGAGUGGGGGCCUGAGGCAGAUCCAGCGUGUGCGGGAGAGCGAUCUAGGGGUUGUAGUCCGAAAUCGCUCAUGACGAAGAUGUGUGUGACGGUAGUGGGUAAAGAAGCUCCGGCUAACUACGUG
rnacentral:rRNA from 1 species